GAGAAAAAGAGGAAAGAAGAAAGAGGAGAAGAAGGCAGAGAUAAAGUGCCGUGUCUCAAAAGCGUGCAGGCGUCCCUUGAGAAUGACACCCUGGUUCCUAAGUGACAGAUGAAGAUACUGAGGGACACAGAAGCCAGGCCACCUGCCCCGCUGUGAGAGGGUGCCCCGUGCACAUCCCUAGGCCUCUGGAGAGCUCCCCCGCAGACUCACCCUCACCCCCUCACCUCCCUCGUGGAAAUGCUGAUCCCAGAACUCACCUUGAGGCCACAGGUGGUCACGGUCCUCAGUGGCCUCCCUCGUUCCUGGUGCUGGAGAGAGGGACAGGCAGGUAAGUGGGAAUCCUGAGACUUAGAAGGGAC